CUGGAGUCGGGAGCGGUGGGGGCAGCAGGACCAAGGGGCGGCCAGGUUGUUCUGCAGAUACUAAAACCUCACCAGAUGGAAGAAUUUAACUGCAUGAUGACCACGAGCAGGGAGCCCCCACACCAGCUGGAGCCUGAGGACUGAAGAUGCUAAACCCCAUGACACAACCCUGUUACCUCAUCAUCAACCAAUCAGAGAAUAAUGCUGGAGACAGUAAAUCACAUACACUCAAAGAAAUUC
rnacentral:lncRNA from 1 species